UCUAUUGGUACUGGACCUAUAAACGCUUUGAACUAACCCAAAACCGCCGCUGAGAUCGAGGGCACUUCCCGCAGCAUGCCCCACGCAGGUUUUUCGGACGGAUCAUCUUACGUGAAGUCGUCAUCAAUCACAGAUUCUUU
ensembl:ncRNA F48B9.11 ncRNA